rnacentral:rRNA from 1 species
AGAAAUUCGAUUCCGUAAGUAGCGGCGAGCGAACGCGGAUUAGCCCAAACCAAUAAAGUUUUCUUUAUUGGGGUUGCGGACAUAUCAUAACGAAGAGGUAUCGUAAUUGAAGAGGUUUGGAAAGACCAACCACAGAAGGUAAUAGUCCUGUAUGUUAAACGAGAAGACUUUAGAUAUGAUCCAGAGUACCACGGGACACGUGAAACCCUGUGGGAAGCAGGAGGGACCACCCUC